rnacentral:rRNA from 1 species
CCUACGGUGGACAGCAGUGGGGGAUAUUGCACAAUGGGGGGAACCCUGAUGCAGCGACGCCGCGUGGGUGAAGAAGCGCCUCGGCGCGUAAAGCCCUGUCAGCAGGGAAGAAAAUGACGGUACCUGAAGAAGAAGCCCCGGCUAACUACGUGCCAGCAGCCGCGGUAAUACGUAGGGGGCAAGCGUUAUCCGGAUUUACUGGGUGUAAAGGGGGCGCAGACGGCGAUGCAAGCCAGGCGUGAAAGACCGGGGCCCAACCCCGGGACUGCUCUUGGAAUGGCGUGGCUGGAGAGCAGGAGGGGCAGGCGGAAGUCCUGGUGUAGGGGUGAAAGGAGUAGAUAUCAGGAGGGACACCGGUGGCGAAGGCGGCCUGCUGGACUGCAACUGACGUUGAGGCCCGAAAGCGUGGGGAGCAAACAGGAUUAGAUACCCGUGUAGUC